GACGAAUGCUGGCGGCGUGCUUAACACAUGCAAGUCGAGCGGAAAGGCCCUUCGGGGUACUCGAGCGGCGAACGGGUCAGUAACACGUGAGUAACCUGCCCCAGACUUUGGGAUAACCCUCGGAAACGGGGGCUAAUACCGGAUACGACACAGCUUCGCAUGGGGUCUGUGUGGAAAGUUUUUCGGUUUGGGAUGGGCUCGCGGCCUAUCAGCUUGUUGGUGGGGUGAUGGCCUACCAAGGCGACGACGGGUAGCCGGCCUGAGAGGGCGACCGGCCACACUGGGACUGAGACACGGCCCAGACUCCUACGGGAGGCAGCAGUGGGGAAUAUUGCACAAUGGGCGGAAGCCUGAUGCAGCGACGCCGCGUGAGGGAUGACGGCCUUCGGGUUGUAAACCUCUUUCAGCAGGGACGAAGCGUAAGUGACGGUACCUGCAGAAGAAGCGCCGGCCAACUACGUG
rnacentral:rRNA from 1 species